rnacentral:rRNA from 1 species
AUUGAACGCUGGCGGCAGGCCUAACACAUGCAAGUCGAGCGAGAGGCGGACGGGUGUGAUAUGUCUGGGAAACUGCCUCAUGGAGGGGGAUAACUACUGGAAACGGGAGCUAAUACCGCAUACCAUCAGAUGUGUCCAGAUGGGAUUAGCGAGUAGGUGGGGUAACGGCGCACCUAGGCGACGAUCCCUAGCUGGUCUGCGAGGAUGACCAGCCCCGCUGGAACUGAGACACGGUCCAGACUCCUACGGGAGGCAGCGGUGGGGAAUAUUGCACAAUGGGCGCAAGCCUGAUGCAGCCAUGCCGCGUGUGUGAAGAAGGCCUUAGGGUUGUAAAGCACUUUCAGCGGGGAGGCGUUACCCGCAGAAGAAGCACCGGCUAACUCCGUGCCAGCAGCCGCGGUAAUUC